UACGGAGAGUGCAAACGUUGUUCGGAUUCACUGGGCGUAAAGGGCACGUAGGCGGCUCGGCAAAUCGGUCGUGGAAUCCCGACGCUUACCGUCGGAACGGCGGCCGAAAAUACCGGGCUCGAGGGCGUGAGGGGUCACUGGAACUCCUGGUGAAGCGGUGAAAUGCGUAGAUAUCAGGAGGAACACCGGUGGUGUAGACGGCUUUCUGGACCGUAACUGACGCUGAGACACGAAAGCGUGGGUAGCAAACAGG
rnacentral:rRNA from 1 species